rnacentral:rRNA from 1 species
UCUCAGUUCGGAUUGGAGUCUGCAACCCGACUCCAUGAAGCUGGAUUCGCUAGUAAUCGCGCAUCAGCCACGGCGCGGUGAAUACGUUCCCGGGCCUUGUACACACCGCCCGUCAAGCCAUGGGAGCCGGGGGUACCUGAAGUGCGUGACCGCAAGGAGCGCCCUAAGGUAAAACCGGUGACUGGGGCUAAGUCGUAACAAGGUAAC